rnacentral:rRNA from 1 species
CGCGGUAAUACGUAGGGGGCAAGCGUUGUCCGGAAUUACUGGGCGUAAAGGGCGUGUAGGCGGCCAUUUAAGUUCGGUGUGAAAGGCGUGGGCUCAACCCAUGGACUGCACUGAAAACUGGGUGGCUUGAGGGUAGUAGAGGAGAGCGGAAUUCCCGGUGUAGCGGUAAAAUGCGUAGAUAUCGGGAGGAACACCAGUGGCGAAGGCGGCUCUCUGGGCUAUACCUGACGCUGAGGCGCGAAAGCUAGGGGAGCAAACGGGAUUAGAUACCCCGGUAGUCCUAGCCGUAAACGAUGGGUACUAGGUGUAGGGGGUAUCGACCCCCCCUGUGCCGGAGUUAACGCAAUAAGUACCCCGCCUGGGGAGUACGGCCGCAAGGUUGAAACUCAAAGGAAUUGACGGGGGCCCGCACAAGCAGUGGAGCAUGUGGUUUAAUUCGACGCAACGCGCAGAACCUUACCAGGGCUUGACAUCCCCUGACAUCCGUGGAAACACGGCCUUCAAGGCUUCGGUCUUGACAGGGUGACAGGUGGUGCAUGGUUGUCGUCAGCUCGUGUCGUGAGAUGUUGGGUUAAGUCCCGCAACGAGCGCAACCCCUAUUCUCUGUUGCCAGCAUUAAGUCGGGCACUCAGGGGAGACUGCCGGAGACGAUCCGGAGGAAGGUGGGGAUGACGUCAAAUCAUCAUGCCCCUUAUGUCCUGGGCUACACACGUGCUACAAUGGCCGGUACAACGGGCUGCGAGGCAGCGAUGCCAAGCCAAUCCCUAAAAACCGGUCUCAGUUCGGAUCGCAGGCUGCAACUCGCCUGCGUGAAGUCGGAAUUGCUAGUAAUCGCGGAUCAGAACGCCGCGGUGAAUACGUUCCCGGGCCUUGUACACACCGCCCGUCACACCACGAAAGUUGGCAACACCCGAAGU